rnacentral:lncRNA from 1 species
GCGACAGCUUGACCAGCUUGGAAAGAGAAACUUGUACAGCUGGACGGGACCUUGGUGAUGGUGGCUCUUAAAUGAGAGUCAUCACACGGCAGCAGCAUCUGGAAGCUUGCCGGAAAUGCAGAAUCGCGGGCUCACCCCAGACGCUAGUGAGGACCGGAAGUGAUUUACCUGUGAGCCCAUUAACAUUGGAGAAGCUGUGGGGGGGGGGGGGGCGGGGGGGCACUUGGGGGGCUCAGUCGGUUAGGCGUCAGACUCGUGAUCUUGGCUCAGGUCACGAUCUCACGGGGCCUGAGAUCGAGCCCCGGGUCUGCCUCUGUGCUGACAGCAUGGAGCCCGCUUGGGAUUCUCUGUCUCCCCCUCUCUCUGCCCCCCUGCCCACCACCAAAAUAAAGAAAUAUUUAAAAAAAUUUCUUUUUUGAGAAGCUCUGGUCUCUGCCUCCUGGGCUGGCUCUGAGUGGUCCUCUCCCACCCCACGUGCAGAGUGAAGUA